AAUUAAAUUUAAUAUUGAGUGGACAUGGGUGGUACUGUGUAAUUUUUGACUCAUAGUACGGUCCAUGUUGGCUCAGUAAUAAAUUACAUU
rnacentral:pre_miRNA from 1 species